rnacentral:sRNA from 1 species
CCGUAUGUUUUUCAUACAGCGCAGCACAACUUGACACUACGUCCUCGGCCAACAUGAAAAAAACAUGCUGCGCUUGCACCGCCUACAUUUACUUACUAAAAGUUAUGGGUAGUAUGUACGCCGGCUAAUUUCCUACUGUCUGGAAA